rnacentral:rRNA from 1 species
CAGCAGUGGAGUGAGAGGCGUGGGUAAGAGGUAGGGUGAGUGCGGCAGGCGAAAUGACAGAGCGUAAUGCGUGACGAGGCGGUAGGGUAGGAUCCUCGUGGAGAGACCGGGCGGACGCGGGGGGGUGGGGUGGCGACUGGGGUGCGGGGAGUGAGGAAGAGGGGGGUGGAAUUGAGCGGGGAGCAGAGAAAGGGGUAGAGGUGGGGAGGAACACCGAUGGGGAAGGCGGCCCCGUGGGCCAACACUGACGCUGAGGCACGAAAGCGUGGGGAGCAAACAGGAUUAGAUACCCGAGUAGUC